AUUGAACGCUGCGGCAGGCCUAACACAUGCAAGUCGAGCGAGCGGCGGACGGGUGAGUAAUGCUUAGGAAUCUGCCUAUUAGUGGGGGACAACAUCUCGAAAGGGAAGCUAAUACCGCAUACUUAUAGAUGAGCCUAGUCGGUUUCGCUAGUUGGUGGGGUAAAGGCCUACCAAGGCGACGAUCUGUAGCGGGUCUGAGAGGAUGAUCGGCCACAUGGGGACUGUGAAACGGCCCAGACUCCGACGGGAGGCAGCCGGGGGGAAUAUCGGCAAUGGAAGGAAGUCUGACGGAGCAACGCAGCGUGAGUGAAGACGGCGUUAGGGUUGUAAAGCUCUGUUAAUGGGGAAGCGGGACCGGAAUAGAAAGCAACGGCUAACUACGUGCCAGCAGCCGCGGUAAUAC
rnacentral:rRNA from 1 species